GUCGAGGGGUAUUACGAUUUUCGGAUUGUAAGAGACCGGCGGACGGGUGCGUAACGCGUAUGCGACCUACCUUCUACAGGGAGAUAGCCCGGAGAAAUUCGGAUUAAUACCCCAUGGUCUUUAGAUGCUUCAUGGCAUUUAAAGUAAAGAUUUAUCGGUAGAAGCUGGGCAUGCGUAUGAUUAGCUAGUUGGUAGUGUAACGGACUACCAAGGCGACGAUCAUUAGGGGACCUGAGAGGGUGAUCCCCCACACUGGAACUGAGACACGGUCCAGACUCCUACGGGAGGCAGCAGUAGGGAAUAUUGGUCAAUGGAGGCAACUCUGAACCAGCCAUGCCGCGUGCAGGAAGACGGCCUUCUGGGUUGUAAACUGCUUUUCUCAGGGAAGAAGUAGGUAUUGCGAUACUGAGAGACGGUACCUGAGGAAUAAGCACCGGCUAACUCCGUGCCAGCAGCCGCGGUAAUACGGAGGGUGCAAGCGUUGUCCGGAAUUAUUGGGUUUAAAGGGAGCGCAGGCGGUUGUUUAAGUCAGAGGUGAAAUCCUACCGCUUAACGGUAGAACUGCCUUUGAAACUGAAUAACUUGAGUACAGUAGCGGUAGGCGGAAUUGAUGGUGUAGCGGUGAAACGCAUAGAUAUCAUCAGGAAGCCAAUUGCGAAAGCAGCUUACUGGACUGGAACUGACGCUGAGCACGAAGCGUGGUAGCGAACAGGAUUAGAUACCCUGGUAGUCCACGCAGUAA
rnacentral:rRNA from 1 species